rnacentral:rRNA from 1 species
UACGAAGGGGGCUAGCGUUGCUCGGAAUCACUGGACGUAAAGCGCACGUAGGCGGCUUUUUAAGUCAGAGGUGAAAAUCCUGGGAGCUCAACCUCCAGAACUGCCUUUGAUACUGGAGAGCUUGAGUCCGGGAGAGGUGAGUGGAACUGCGAGUGUAGAGGUGAAAUUCGUAGAUAUUAGGAAGAACACCAGUGGCGAAGGCGACUCACUGGACACAUAAUUGACGC